ensembl:rRNA 5S_rRNA 5S ribosomal RNA
GCUUACUGCCAUACCACCUUAGGCACGCCCGAUCUCGUCUGAUCUCGGAAGCUAAGCAGGGUCGGGCCUGGUUAGUACUUGGAUGGGUGACCGCCUGGGAAUACCUGGUGCUGUAAGCA